rnacentral:rRNA from 1 species
UACAGAGGGGGCAAGCGUUAUUCGGAAUUAUUGGGCGUAAAGGGCGCGUAGGCGGCCAUUCAAGUGACGGGUGAAAGCCCUCGGCUUAACCGAGGAACUGCCUGUCAGACUGGAUGGCUUGAGACCGGGAGAGGUGAGUGGAAUUCCCAGUGUAGCGGUGAAAUGCGUAGAUAUUCGCAAGAACACCAGUGGCGAAGGCGGCUCACUGGCCCGGUACUGACGCUGAGGUGCGAAAGCGUGGGGAGCAAACAGG